rnacentral:rRNA from 1 species
AACGCGAAGAACCUUACCUGGGCUCGAACGGCUUCGGACAAACUGUGGAAACACGGUCUUCCCGCAAGGGACUGGAGUCGAGGUGCUGCAUGGCUGUCGUCAGCUCGUGUCGUGAGAUGUUGGGUUAAGUCCCGCAACGAGCGCAACCCUUAUCUUCAGUUGCUACCAUUUAGUUGAGCACUCUGACGAAACCGCCUCGGAUAACGGGGAGGAAGGUGGGGAUGACGUCAAGUCCUCAUGGCCUUUAUGUCCAGGGCUACACACGUGCUACAAUGGCCGGUACAAACCGCUGCAACCCCGCGAGGGUGAGCUAAUCGGAAAAAGCCGGCCUCAGUUCGGAUUGGAGUCUGCAACUCGACUCCAUGAAGCUGGAAUCGCUAGUAAUCGUGGAUCAGCAUGCCACGGUGAAUACGUUCCCGGGCCUUGUACACACCGCAUAC